ensembl:lncRNA
AUUUCUACUUGAAGAGUGCCUUCUUCAGGAGUUUCUAGCAAACCUUGAUUCUCAGAAUCAGUAGGUACCCUGUUUCCUGCACUACAUGACAAGUAUCCUAGAAACAAAUUGCAUUACACGAUGUGAAUUCAUCUUGUUGUCUACAGGGAAUCAUUUGGAAAAAGGAGCAUAUUUUCUAGCUAGUGGGGGAAAAUGAGAGCCUUGCCUUGACUCUGAAACUUCUAAACAGACAGAUUUUUAUUAGAUUUCCUUGACUGUACAUCCUGCUGUCUUCAUGAAGUUGAACCCCCAUAUUCUGCGGUAAAAUGCACAGCAAAAGAAAUGUGUUAAUAUGGUGGAACUUGUGAAGAACGAGCUGCUGGAUAUUGCCUACCUAGUGUCAUUACGACAGUGCAAAUGUUUUUUUUUUUUAUGGGGUGAAUGGGCUAAAAUAUAACUUGCAUUAGUUUUUACAUAGGUAAAAUUCAUAUCCUUGAUGCAAAGAACAAUGUUCCCUUUUCCACAGUGUGGAAGUCUCUAACAGUUUGCAGUACAAUGACUAGAAAAUCUUACGAAUAUGAAGAAGUGUUUUGUUCCAUGAAAAUACUGAAACAUAUUAAACAGAUAAAAAUAAUAGAAGUGCUGAGGGACUCUGAAAUGGAUGGUUACCAUUAGCAAAAGUAUAAGUGAAUCUCAUCUACUGUCAAUCUCCUUUAAACAGAGGGAGCAAUUCACUGAAAUUCCUUUUAUGAAUGAGAAGAUUUUUAAACCGCUUAAUGUAAACCAUUUCCAAUUAAGAUCUCACCCUUAUUAGAAAUAGAUCUUUUCAUAACAGCUGUAUCAAUCCUAGAUGUUUAGAAUGAAAGCUGUUCCUAAAAGCUUUCAAUAUUUGCUCCAUCUGUGUAAGAAGGGAAAAAUCCAAGCCAAAUAACAGUGGAAGAAAAAUUUGAGCUGACACUGAUUUAAAAACUGAAGUGAAACUUUGGUCCUGAAAAUGUGAGCAUAUUUACCUUCAAAUGUAGUUCCAUUUAUUCCUCCGAGCAAACUUCAGGGGUUGUUUGCAGAACUAAGACCUAGAUCUGCAAAAUACAACUUGUUUCUGAGACUCAGUUCCAUGUGAACUCAUAAGUACUGUGACAGUUAAGAGAGGCCCAAGAGUUCUGGGAGAACAUUGAAUUUUGAAGCCUUACAGUAUCAUAUUGUUUUUAUUAUACACACAGAUUUUCAAGGUGGCUGAGAACAGUUUAGACCCAAAUGUCUAUUCUACUUACUAAUUUCUUUUUAAUAUAUAUUUUGGUGUGUUAAAGAAUGGGGAAAUUACACAGUGUAUUUAGUAUAUCACUCAGUGGUGUAGAGCUACAGUGCCAAAGUCUUAAUGUGAAUUGGAUUGCAAAGCUUUUGGUCAUUUAUUUGCAAUCUGUGUGAGUGAGCCCCCUAAAUACUGAAGACUAAAAAACAAUAAGAAGGUUCUGUUUUGUUAAGUGUGCAUUGCAACAUAGUGUUUGUGUUUUAAUUAACUUAAUCUGUAUCUUCCUGAAUACUUCACUAUACCAUGAGAAAAUCCUGACUGAAUGCUUCCUGAGCACAGCAGCUUCCUCGUUGCUGCUGUUGUCCUGUGCUGGAGAGAUUUGUAAU